UGGGACCUUGAAUAUAUACUGUAUUUCUUUAAUUCAUGAAUGUACCAUUGGAAUAUAUAUAAUCAACAAUGAUGGAACCUCAUACUGGCUUCUCACCUAUUAUACUAGAAAGGACUAAAUGGAAAGAAACUUCUGGAAUUCCUCUCAAUACCAAGAGUAAAUGAAAAGAAAUACCACAUCCCUGGGGGAACCAGAGCGACAAAUGUCAUAAGAAGCCACUUGAAAGAGGUGGAGAAACUGAUUCCUGUUGCUUCCCGACAUAACUCUCUAAUAUACUUGGAGAAUGCUGGCUUCUGGACUUUGUGAAUUCUGAAACCAAAACAAGAAUAAGUUGAAGAAUUCUUACUUUGGACCAAGCUGGCAUUAUUUCAAAAGAAAGGAAAAAAGGAAGACAGAAAAGAAGGGAGGAGAGGGAAGGGAGGAAGAAAGAGAGGAGACAG